GGACGAGGUAUCGUUGCAAUCAUGGCUGACUUCAAUUUUAGGUUGGCCGGUCUUGCCACUUUCGCGAUCUCAUUUUAUUUAAUCGACAGUGCUUACAACAGAAAAAUAUCAGCAUCGACAGAAGGAAUUAACAAUUGUCUCCCUUGCACCAUUAUUGCGUCGAAUUUGAAAAGAAAUACAAUGCAGGCUAAAUGAAUUUAUAAUAAAUAUCGUGUAAUUACAAAUUAAAAAUUAGGAAUUGAUUAUACUAGGACUAGGCAAGAAAGCUAUUUACAUAAGGGGAAAAUGAUAAUACAGAGGUUAUUAGUAUUAGAUCAAUGAGCGAUUACGUGACGUUUACUUAGUAAUGAAUGAGAAUGCAAAUUAUAUUAUUAUUUUUUUUUUUUAAUAACAAACUGAUAAAACAAAAGUUAAUCUAUCAAAUUGGAGAUAUUUACAAAAUAGUUCGAGUUUCCGUGUUGAGAGAAUGAGGUAAAUGAAAAUAUGAGAGAAUAGCUUGUCGCCAAAAUGCUUUUUCAAAUCAGAAAAUCACUUUUACAGUUGUCAUUUUAACGGAAGGUGACGUUUAAAACGUAUUGAUGAAUAUUCGUUUUCCAAUCACUUACAUUCACCGUGGAGGUAGUUUGAGACAUCGAUUCGUGUAUGGGUCGUAAGUUUUCAUACCUCGUAAUAAACGUGUGCAGUCGUAAAUCUAGCUAACUCAACCGUACAGAUUUCGAUAUAAUGAUCUCAAGUGUACAGGUAAUCACGACGAGACAUUCAUCAAUAUUUAGUCGUUAGAUAUUAGCAACAUAAACUUUCAUCAUCGUCGUUUUAACGUCCACUUAUACACUUGCAUGGGUCGGACGGAAUUUGUAGAGGCAGAUUUUCUAUAGCCGGAUGCUCUUCCUAUCGCCAAACCUCAUGUUACUAAGUAAGAUAAUAUUCCCCAUACCAAAAACGUUUUCCAUGGAAAACUGGAAACUAAGAACGCCACUUCUGUCUGACAUUCGUUUAAAACUAUCACAUGAAGUCAAGGUAAGGAGACAAUAACACACACACACACACGCUUAAAAUAUAUAUAAGAUAGACUUCUUUGAGAUUCCAUCUAUGAAAUCCACUAUCAAGGCUUUACUUUGGUUGGUCUGGAGCUAUAGUAGAAGACACUUGUCUGAGGUGCCACACAGUGAAACUGAAUCUGAGACCAUGUGGGUGUGCACAGCCAUGCCUGUGCAUUUUUGCUUGUAAAAAAAGAUCAGACCUGUAAACCAUCUAAAUAUAGGUCUCUAAAUCAAAAUUGAAUUUGUAAUUGAAAAAGAAAAUUUUAAAAGAAUGAAUGUUGUUCCUUAGUUUUGAGCAGAUAAAAGCAAAACACGUAAUUUUGCUAUCAGAAAAUUUAGAUCACUAAAAUAAAAUCACCAAAAAAAUCUUGCUCCAAUUAUUCUCAGUCUAAAUAUCACACUAAAUCCAUGAAACCCAAACAUAGAUAAUGUAAACAAGUCCUGCAGACUGCAAUAGUUAAAAUUUAUUCUUUCUCUGCAACCCAGUGGUUGGGGACUUCUACACUAAAUCUUACUGCUUCAAAUGGCAGUCAUAUAUAAAAUGCCUUUCAACUUUGAAAAACAAGUGUAGGAUGUAUUGGGUCAUCCCAUAAACAAUGCGUUUUUUUUAUACUUCUUUUAUUUUUCAAAAGCUCUCCUUCAUUUUCUACAACGCUCUUCCAUCUAUCUGGUAGAAUUGCAAAGCCUGUCUUCCAAAAUUCAUUUGUCCAUGACGAAAAAUACCCCUCCAGUACUGUUCUGAACUUGUCUACAGAAUUCAUAUUUUUUUCCCUCCAAAUGAUUUUGAAGACUGCGGAAUAAAUGAUAAUCAGAUAGGGCAAUAUCCAGCCUUUGAAAUGUUAUCCUCGCUGUAUGUGGCUGAGCAUUAUCCUGAUGGAAGAACACUUUUUGUCUUGAAACCAAAGAUGGUCUUCAAGUGCUGACUUAAGCCACUCAAGCUGCUCACAGUGGAUCUCCUUUGUUAUCAUUGGGUUUCGGUUUAAAAGUUCAAAGUGGACUAAACCUUUCAUAUCCCACCAAACAGAUAAAAACACCUUACGUGAGUGAAGACCUUUAGCCCGGAGUACAAGUAUUCUCCUUUCCCUACCCACUGUCUUCGGCACUUUAGAGAAGCCAUUUCUCGUCACCAGUCACUAUUUGGUCCAAAAAAAGGUUCAUUCUUGAAACGUGACAACAAAGAAGAGCACACAUUCAUUUUCUGUGCAUGAUUAGACUCGAAGCCAGUCAAGAAAGUAUUGAAGUUCAACACCACUACAUGUAAUGAUGAUAAAAAUCAUUGCAGGGCCUAAGUUGACAGCAAUCAAGAAGUUCCAGCCAGCAUCAUCCCAUCUUUUGUAUAUCUAAUACAACAUUGUCCAUUGAGUCCUAUUUUUUUUAAGGAAAGUAGAACAUGGUUUGAGAGGGAUGUGGUUUGCUCUAAUCAAGCAGACUUAAGCUUAAAAGCAUUCUGUGAUUAUGUCAUCUUUUUCCAAUCCUCCUUGGAUCACAUUAUCCAACAUAUCAUUUUCUGAGAUGAUAGGGUAUGAUAUGAACUAGAUUUUGUUGCUCUAUCUAUUAAGUCAUGACCAAAGAGACAUACUGUUGUUGAAGUAUUGCAAGAGACUGCCAAGUAAAAAUCAUGAAUAGAAUAUAAAAAUAACUUGCUAAUGAAUCGAUCCACAAUGCACAUUAUCUUCUAUUUUAACAAAUUAAGUCCUUAUAUAACGUAGAUAGUGAAAAGGCAAACCAAACUUGCUGAGCAAGAUAACAUGAAAUUAUAACAUGGUCACAUUGUCAUCAAAUAAUAAAAGAACCAAGCAGUUUCCUAUAUUGUUAAGACAUACUUGUAUUUCAUAUGAAAAUUUUUUUCUUUAUUGCCCACAGGGGGCUAAACAUAGAGGAAACAAACAAAGACAGACAAAUGGGAUUAGAAAAUGCACAUGACCCAGUGGUUAGGUAACUAGGCUCUUGAUAAUAAGGUAAUGGAUUCAAUACUUGGCCCAGGUGGAUCAUCGUGUCCUUGAGCAAGAUAUUUCACAUUACUCCCAAUCCUCCCAGUAGGCAAAAAUGGACAUUAACACUGGUAGAGCAUCUGGCUAGUGUCAAGUUAGCUGAUUUGGUGAUAUGACUAAAAACCCUCGGCCGUGAAAGGUGGCUACGUCCAGCAGUUGACAGCUAUAUCCUAUCUUUACCCUGUUACUUAUACUCAUUUUACAGCUAAAAUUUUCAAAUUUGGACAUUUGUAUAUCGUUAGAACUAACCACUGAACUAUGAAGUAAAAGGAGCAGUAAGGCAAGCCGAGUUGAACUAUUGUGCCCCGGGGACACAAUACGAUUGUUGCAGUAGCACCGUUGGGAUUUAUUACAUGAUCUGUCAUCCCCAACUCUAUCCUUUUACCACUUCCCUCUUACACCCUCAUAAACUUACCUACCCACUAACCCUGUCUGUUCUCUGUUCCACUUCUCUCUCAUAUUCACCUUCUUGUACCUUGAGGGUGACAUCUAACCACUACCAUCUUUUCUCCUUUUCUCUUUCUAGUUGGUGGAGCCAUGCAUCUCCUCAACAGCAAGAUACCUGUUCCUCUCCCUCUAUCUCAGUGGGAAUUCACAAUAGUAUUUUAAGGGCAGGGCCCCUAAAAAUAUUUUGCUUAAGAUGUAUGUAUUGCAGGAAGCAGCUAGGUUUCUUUCUCUUAACAUUUUAUGGUUCAACCUACACAAAUUAACGUGUGAAAACAAUAAAUAACAUUCUAUGAAACUAGUUUUUAAACAUCGAAUGGCAAUGGGGGGGGUCCAUCGGAAUAAAAUGGUUGAGGACCCCUACUCUAUCUUAUUUUAAUCUCUUUUUACAUGGCAUAAAUCCACCACCUCUAAUACUACAGCCCCACUCAGUUGAAGGGUUCUUGUCUUAAGAGUCACUUGAUGUCAUGGAAAAACACUCAAUACAUGCUGUAAAGUAAUUGGUAUUAGGAAGGGCUUCAAGCUGUAGAAAACCAUGCCAAAACAGGCAUUCAAGCUCAACACAGUCCUCCAACUUGCAGACACCCAUCCAACACAUGCCAGCAUGGAGUUGUUGGCACUCCGUCGCUUACGACGUCAAGGGUUCCAGUUGAUCCGAUCAAUGGAACAGCCUGCUCGUGAAAUUAACGUGCAAGUGGCUGAGCACUCCACAGACACGUGUACCCUUAACGUAGUUCUUGGGGAUAUUCAGCGUGACACAGUAUGACAAGGCUGACCCUUUGAAUUACAGGCACUACAGAAACAGGAUGUAAGAGUGAGAGAAAGUUGUGGUGAAAGGGUACAGCAGGGUUCACCACCAUCUCCUGCCAGAGCCUCGUGGAGCUUUUAGGUGUUUUUGCUCAAUAAACACUCACAGCGCCCGGUCUGGGAAUCAAAACCGCAAUCCUAUGACCGCGAGUUCGCUUCCCUAACCACUGGGCCAUUGCGCCUCCACUGCCAGCAUGGAAAACAGAGGCUAAAUGAUGAUGAUGCCUUAAAUUUGCAGCCUUUGUGCCAAAAUAGUUAGACAAGAAAAUUUUUUCAAAAAAUGGUUAUUUUUGACUCUGUAAAGGACCAAAUGUGAAGGUGAGAGGUAAGAAUAGUAAUUGUGAAUGGAAUGGAGUGGCUUCACUUUUUUUCUCCACCAAAUUCCAAAGAAUUGAAAAACAAAAGCAACUAUGCUAUGAUGCACCAAAUUAAAUACUGUAAAGCAUUUAAGUAAGCUAUAUCUACCAUGUCUAUGAUUUCCAUUCAGAGAAAAAUUAAUAAGAUUUUGAAAACAGAGAUAAGGACAUUGCAGAUAAAAGUGUUGGUUUUCUAGGUACUGUAUAAGUGGGUCACAGUUUCAAACUGAGAUGCAGGAACUGCAGUAUGCACCAAUUUUAGUUCACAAUUACAGAAAACAUCCACAAAGCAUUAAAAAUGACUGCUUUGCUCAAUGUCCCUUAUUUGAAAGCAGUAAAGUGUAAUUUGAGGGAAAUUUAGCUGCUCAGUGUAAAGGUUUGACUAUUAACUCAAUUAAUGUAAUGAUCAAGGUGGAGUGUAAAUAAACUAGCUUCCUUUUUAUUAAGAAAUUAUCUAGAGAAUUCAUAUAAGAGAUCAAACAUCUACUCUUAAUAGUUCUGUGGUUGGCAAUAGAAAAAAACAAUAACAUUUAUUCCAUCAAUAUACAAAUACCUAAAUUUGAAAAUGUUAGUCCAUCCACGUCAACAGAGAUGAGUAUACAAGAAUGGGAUGCUGAAUGGAAUAUCUAUAAGAUAACAAAUGCUAUAUUCCUGUAUGGGAAUAACACAUUUCACACUUAAAAUAGGAUUCUGAUUCUUUAACUCUUUCAGGUUCAAGGUACUUGUGAAAUAUUGAUGAACCUCAUUGCCUGCCAAAAAACUUGUAGCCUUUUGUCUGUUAGAAGUCAUUAAAAUCUCUGUAAGAAUGGAACAUUAAGAAACCAUAAUCAGCUGAUAGGUUAACUGGUCAAAGAAAUCUGUGACAAUUUCAUAUGCAAUUUGUCCAGUUAGGCUUCCCAUCCAUGUGGUUUUAGGUUCACACACACUGCAUGGCACCUUAGACAAGUAUCUUCUUACACAGCUUCAAAUAAGGAAAUAGUAGACAGACACUUAAAGCCUAGUAAAAAGUUUGCUUUUCAAUCACAGGGUUCCUUGGGCAAAUGUCUUCUAGUAUAGAUCAGGGCUAGCCAAAGCUUUCUGAGCGGUUUUGGUCAACAGAAACUGAAAGCCCAUCAUGUAUACACAUGGUACUUGGGCAAAUGUCUUUAAUGCCCUGGGUCAACCAAAUCCUUGUGAGUGGAUUUAGUAGAUGGAAAGAAGCCUGUUAUGUGUACAUGUAUGCAAUGUGUGUUUGUGUCUCUUUCUCUUGACGUCACACAAGGAGUGUCAUUUGUUUCCAAUAUUCUGCAAGAACAUGCCUGGCCAUGAGGAAAAUACUAUCUUGCUUGAAAACAAAAGGGGUUUGCAACAGGAAGGGCAUUCAAAUGUAGAAAAAGUUUGCCUCACUAAGCUCCAUCUAACCCAUGCAAACAUGGAAAAGUAGACUUUAAAAUUGUGCAUAUGUCUGGAUAUGUCCUUAGUUUCCCAUCUUCCAUGAGGAAAUUACAAUUACAUGGAAAUAGAUAAGAGUUGGCAACAGGAAAAGCAUCCAGUUGUAAAAAAAAUCUGCAUCAAUGAAUAAGUACCAGUUGAACACUGGGGUUGAUAUAACUGACUUAACCCUCCCCCCGAAAUUGCUGGCCUUGUGCCAACAUUUGAAAUCACUAUUACUAAAUACAUUGAUGCAAGAACAGUUAUGUGGUUAUCAUAUUUGUUUCACAACCACAUCCUUCAGGUUCAAUCCUAUGGUUUUGCACUGUGAAAGGGUCUUAUAAAGUUCGCCAUAGCCUCAAGAGGAGCAAUUCUCUCAGUGGAUUUUAGUACACAGAAACUAUGAAGAAGCCUAUUAUGUGGGUGUGUGCAUACAGAUAGAUUGGUGUAGACGUGUAUAUAGUUUAUAUCAUGUCCGGUAAAUUCACCAUCAUCAAUUCAUUGUCUUUUUAUCUUUCAAUAAAAUAGUUUUUAACUAUUAAUGGUGAGAUACUAUGGAUAUUUUUUUCUUGGUAAAUUUUCUUCAUGGUGAAUUGAUGGCAAGUGAACUUACCUGUAAUCAGUUUGUGUGUGUAUGUGACAACACUGCUUGUUAAAACGAGGCCUGUGUUAAAAUGGUACCAUUGCCAUGCAAUAAAAUAACCAAGUAUUGGGAUCACUGUAAUCAACUAAACAAAAACCCUGAAGGUGGUACUGCAACAUGGCCACAGACCAAUGACGGAGAACAGUCAAAAAAAUAUAAGGAAAUGGCUUCUGGUUCAGUCCCACUGUGUAGCACCUUUGGUAAGUCCAUUUCACUUUAGCCUUGGGCAGACCAAAAAAUUAUGAAUGAAUUUGGUAGAUGGAAACUGAAAGAAACACAUAUAUGCAUGUGCGUGUGUGUGUUUUUGUCUUGAUAUCAUGUGAUAGCUGUAGGGUGUCACUAUCAUACAAGCAGUGUCAUUCAUUUCCAGUCUUCUAUAAAAAUAUGACCAGCUAGGGCCUUACUCAGAAAUAGAUGAGGGUUGGCAACAAGAAGGGCAUCCAGCUAUAAAGAAUCUGCCUGAACAUAUUCUAUCUGACCCAUAUAAGUAUGGAAAAAGACACAUUAAACCAGCUAUAUCCUGCCAAAAUAUUCUAACUUUUUUUUUAUUUUCAAACUGGCCAGAUCCAGCCAGUCUCACAUUUACCCUACAAUGUUAUUCUAGAAACAAACAAUCUCAUCAUUGAAAUUUCAAAGCUACAAAGUAAUGCACAACUAAUGCAAAACAAUGUGAAUGAACAAGCAUUAUAUUUUAAGGAAAUCUGAAUGCUAAAAGGUUAAAACAAUGAUAUUCAAUGUUUGAAAGAAAUAAUAUAUAUAUAUAUAUAUAUAUAUAUAUAUAUAUAUAUGGAAAAACAAUGAAAAUAUCUGUAAUUGAAGCAACAAAUGUGAACUGACAAUAGCCAUCCGGUUGCACCAGUCCUCAGUCAAAUCGUCCAACCCAUGCUAGCAUGGAAAGCGGACGUUAAACGAUGAUGAUGAUGAUAUACAUAUACUGUUCAUUCAUUGUACAUCUGUUUUUCAAAGCUAACAUGGGUUGGACAAAUAUGCAUUUACGUAUGGUUUUGUUUUUACAGCCAGAUGCCUUUCCUGUUGCUAACCCAUAACUGUUAUUUUAAUCAAUGGAUUCCACUAAUCUUCAAAAGCAUAGUGCUGCAGGAUGGUUUGUUUUACACACACACACACACACACAUAUAUAUAUAUUUAUCUUUUACUUACUUCAAUCAUUAAAAUGUAGUCAUGGUGAGGCACUACCUGAAUUUUUAGUCGAAUGAAUCAACCCCAGUACUUAUUUUUCUUAUAAGCCUGGUGCUUAUUCUAUCCAAGCAGUGGUGAUGAGGAAAAACAAAGAUAUGUGUGUGUGUGUGUAUAUAUAUAUAUAUAUAUAUAUAUAUAUAUACACACACACACACAACAUGACAGGCUUCUUUCAGUUUCCAUCUACCAAAUCGUCUCACAAUUUGGUCAACCUGAUGUUAUAGAAGACACUUACUCCAGGUACCUCAUAGUGGGAUUGAACCGAGGACCAUGUGGUUGGGAAGCAAGCUUCUUAUUUCUUUAUUGCCCACAAGGGGCUAAACAUAGAGUGGACAAACAAGGACAGACAAAGGGAUUAAGUCGAUUACAUCGACCCCAGUGCGUAACUGGUACUUAAUUUAUCGACCCCCCGAAAGGAUGAAAGGCAAAGUCGACCUCGGCAGAAUUUGAACUCAGAACGUAACGGCAUACGAAAUACCGCUAAGCAUUUUGCCUGGCGUGCUGACGUUUCUGCCAGCUCGCAAGCUUCUUACCAUACAGCCAUGCCUGAACCUAUAUACACAUAUAUAUACACACCAUAGGAAAUAGCUGUAUAAAUAUAAGCCAACAAAAAAUAAAAUCUUUGAAGACACCUUACUCUCUUAAAUGAGGAAGAAUACAUUGGAUAAUGUGAUCCUGGAUGCACUAUGACUGAAUAAAAGAUGGGAUAGUCAUAGCUGGAACACCUUUGAUUCUAAACUAUUCAAUUAGAGCUUGAGUUGGUGAGAGUGGGGAAAUUUUACAAUACCUUGAAUGACCACAAGGAAAUGUCAGACAAGUAUCUCGGCGUUUCAGGUAACUGAAGGAUGCCGUAAUAAUUUCAGCUUAUUAAAGUACAAACAUCACAGGAUACAAUAUCCAUCCACAACAUUGAUCAGACAACUAUUACUAAUGGAUUCAGAGAAAAUAAAAUUUUGUGAAAUCACAAAUGUAAAAUAGUCAAAAGUAGCAAACAAGCUCUACAGUCAAAAUGAGACGCUCUUUUACUUGAGUAGCAUCACUUUAAAAGAACAUGCUAGAACAUGUUGAAAUUCUGAGUACCAGUGAUCAUAGACAUUAUUUUAUAUCUAUGUUUCUAAAAUUGGGACAGUUGAAUAUUUAUGUCACUAGUCACAAGUUGUCUAAACCCUUUAGCAUUCAGAUUACUUUGUCAAAUGUAAUGCUUUAUAUAUUCAUGUUUUAGAUUAAUCAUGUAUUAUCUUGUAGCUUUGAGAUUUCAAUGAUGUGAUUGUCAUUUCUAAAUUGACAUUGUAAGGUGGGUGUGAGAAGCUGGAUCUGGCCAGUUUGAACAUAAAAUAAGUAGAAUAUUUGAGCCAGUUUAAAUGCUAAAGCAUUAAGCUGAAUGACCCCCACUCCAUUAUUAACUAAUGAAAUUCUUUGUUUUUGUUCAUUUUUGUACUUGUUUUUUUUUUCCAUGCCAGCAUGGGUUAGACAACUAUAUAAUUGAGAUAAUGUUUUAUAGUUGAAUACCCUUAACUGUUUUUUGAAUAAGGGAUUUCACUGCAAUGGCAGUGAAUGAUCUGUUGACAGGAGAAAUGACAGCAACAUUACUGCUUGUAGCUUGUGAUUUUUGGAGAAAUACAAAUGUAAACUAACACACACGCAUAUACAUAUCAUCAAUUAACAUCCACUUUUCCAUGUUUGCAUGGAUCAGAUGGAAUUUGCUGGGGUAGAUAUUUUCCAUAGCCAGAUACACAUCUUGUCACCAACCCUCACUUAUUUCCAAGCAAGGUAAUAUUUUCCCCAAGGCCAGAAGUGCUUUUCACAGUAACUGGAAACAACAUUGCUUGUACGACAGUGAUGUUCAUUUACAUCAAUCACAUGUCAAGACAAGCAUACAUACAUAAAUACACAGAUAUAGAUGUGUUUUUGUAUGUGUAUAUAUAAAUAUAUGUGGAGACGCAAUGGCCCAGUGGUUAGGGCAGCAGACUCGCGGUUUUGAUUCCCAGACCGGGUGUUGUGAGUGUUUAUUGAGCGAAAACACCUAAAGCUCCACGAGGCUCCGGCAGGGGAUGGUGGCGAACCCUGCUGUACUCUUCCACCACAACUUUCUCUCACACUUUCUUCCUAUUUCUGUUGUACCUGUAUUUCAAAGGGUCAGCCUUGUCACGCUGAAUAUCUCCGAGAACUACGUUAAGGGUACACGUGUCUGUGGAGUGCUCAGCCACUUGCACGUUAAUUUCACGAGCAAGCAGUUCCGUUGAUCGGAUCAACUGGAACCCUUGACGUCGUAAGCGACGGAGUGCCAACAACAACCACACAGCUAUGCUUGCACAUAUGAAUUUAAAACAAAACGGGUCUCUAAAUUAAGGGCAAAGGAUGAUAGCUGUGGCAAGGCUUGACUACAUGAUCUUCAGCAGUUAAUCCGGUACUAACCCACACAACCACUAUUGCGGUUAUCUAUUAAAGAAAAAACAUCACUUUUCAUUUCUUUUUUUUUUUUUGUCUUCAAUGCAUUUUAAUAACUUUUGGGGUUAUGUUAAAUUAUACAAAUAAAAUUGUACUUACUGAUUAUCAAGGGGGUACAUUCCAUCAUUUAACAUCAGUAAUU